rnacentral:rRNA from 1 species
GAGCUUUUCAGUAGUUUACUACAGAAAAUGACUGAGCGGCGAACGGGUGAGUAACGCGUGAGCAAUCUACCUUAGUUACUGGGAUAGCCCGAGGAAACUCGGAUUAAUACCGGAUAUUCUUAUUUUUUCACAUGAAGUUUUAAGGAAAGGUCAGCCGAACUAAGAUGAGCUCGCGUUCUAUCAGCUAGUUGGUGGGGUAAAAGCCUACCAAGGCUACGACGGAUAGCUGGUCUGAGAGGACGAUCAGCCACACUGGGACUGAGACACGGCCCAGACUCCUACGGGAGGCUGCAGCAGGGAAUAUUGCGCAAUGAGCGAAAGCUUGACGCAGCGACACCGCGUGUGGGAUGACGGUUCUAGGAUUGUAAACCACUUUCAGGAGGGAAGAAAAUGACGGUACCUCCACAAGAAGACCCGGCCAACUACGUGCCAGCAGCCGCGGUAAUACGUAGGGGUCAAGCGUUGUCCGGAUUUAUUGGGCGUAAAGAGCUCGUAGGCGGUUCAACAAGUCGGUCGUAAAAGUUUAGGGCUCAACCCUAAAAUGUCGAUCGAUACUGUUGUGACUAGGAUACGGUAGAGGUGAAUGGAAUUCCGAGUGUAGCGGUGAAAUGCGUAGAUAUUCGGAGGAACACCAAUUGCGAAGGCAGUUCACUGGACCGUGAUCGACGCUGUGGAGCGAAAGCUAGGGGAGCAAACAGGAUUAGAUACCCUGGUAGUCCUAGCUGUAAACGAUGGAUACUAGAUGUAGGAACUGGAUUGACGGUUUCUGUAUCGUAGCUAACGCGUUAAGUAUCCCGCCUGGGGAGUACGGUCGCAAGACUAAAACUCAAAGGAAUUGACGGGACCCCGCACAAGCGGCGGAGCAUGCGGCUUAAUUCGAUGAUACCCGUAGAACCUUACCUGGACUUGACAUAUAGGGAAAAGCUAAAGAAAUUUAGUGUGCGUAAGCGCCCUAUACAGGUGGUGCAUGGCUGUCGUCAGCUCGUGUCGUGAG